rnacentral:rRNA from 1 species
AUUGAACGCUGGCGGCGUGCUUAACACAUGCAAGUCGAACGCGAAAGGGACUUCGGUCCUGAGUAAAGUGGCGCACGGGUGAGUAACGCGUGGAUAAUCUGCCCUUAUGAUUGGAAUAACAGUUGGAAACGGCUGCUAAUACCGGAUACGCUCAAAAUGAACUUUUUGAGGAAAGAUGGCCUCUGCUUGCAUGCUAUCGCAUAAGGAUGAGUCCGCGUCCCAUUAGCUUGUUGGCGGGGUAACGGCCCACCAAGGCAACGAUGGGUAGCCGAUUUGAGAGGAUGAUCGGCCAAACUGGAACUGAAACACGGUCCAGACUCCUACGGGAGGCAGCAGUGGGGAAUAUUGCGCAAUGGGCGAAAGCCUGACGCAGCGACGCCGCGUGAGGGAUGAAGGUUUUCGGAUCGUAAACCUCUGUCAGAAGGGAAGAAACUACGUUGUGCUAAUCAGCAGCGUACUGACGGUACCUUCAAAGGAAGCACCGGCUAACUCCGUGCCAGCCGCCGCGGUAA